rfam:Capsella rubella cultivar Monte Gargano unplaced genomic scaffold scaffold_7, whole genome shotgun sequence.
AAGCCGUGAUGAGGGCACUGUGACUGAUAGCUCUUGAAUCGUUCCCAUGCUUCAUAAAAUGUUUCGUUGUUGCGCUGAGCGAAGCUAGAGAUAUCAUUCCUCAAUCU